rnacentral:rRNA from 1 species
UACGGAGGAUGCAAGCGUUAUCCGGAAUGAUUGGGCGUAAAGCGUCCGCAGGUGGCAAUGUAGGUCUGCUGUCAAAGCGUCUGGCUCAACCAGAUAAAGGCAGUGGAAACUACAUAGCUAGAGUAAGGUAGGGGUAGAGGGAAUUCCUGGUGUAGCGGUGAAAUGCGUGGAGAUCAGGAAGAACACCGGUGGCGAAAGCGCUCUGCUGGACCUUAACUGACACUGAGGGACGAAAGCUAGGGGAGCGAAUGGG